rnacentral:rRNA from 1 species
CCUACGGGUGGCAGCAGUAGGGAAUAUUGCUCAAUGGGGGAAACCCUGAAGCAGCAACGCCGCGUGGAGGAUGAAGGUUUUCGGAUUGUAAACUCCUUUUGUUAGAGAAGAUAAUGCCGGUAUUUAACGCAUAAGCACCGGCUAACUCCGUGCCAGCAGCCGCGGGAAUACGGCGGGUGCAAGAGUUACUCGGAAUUACUGGGCGUAAAGAGCGCGUAGGCGGGAUAGCAAGUCAGAUGUGAAAUCCUAUGGCUUAACCAUAGAACUGCAUUUGAAACUGGUAUUCUAGAGUAUGGGAGAGGUAGGUGGAAUGCUUGGUGUAGGGGUAAAAUGCGUAGAGAUCAAGAGGAAUACUCAUUGCGAAGGCGACCUGCUAGAACAUAACUGACGCGGAGGCGCGAAAGCGUGGGGAGCAAACAGGAUUAGAUACCCCUGUAGUC